AUGCUUAGCUAGCAGGGGAAAUGCCGUGAUCAUGAAGGUGGUUCUUUUCAAUAUGAGGUUUAACCCUUGCACUCCAGAUGUGCUACCCGAGAUUUUCCCCCAAAUGAGGGAAACUCAACUCUAUAAUUUGCGGUAAUGGGGGCUGUGUUUGCUCUCUCCCAUG